rnacentral:tRNA from 1 species
CCGUGGUAGCGGAAAGGGCGCGCAGCAGGCGCGUUUGGGCCGCGCCCUCACGCUGUCGUUGCUGUUCGAGGUCGGAGAUUUCGGCC